GUGUUUAUGUGAUCUCCUUCUAAUUGGUAUUAGAGAGGAAUUCUGCUUCCUUUGGGCAUUAGGAAGAAAAUCAGAAAAGCAAACACGCUGAUUCUUGAUUUAGCUGAAAGCGAAAAUGACCUGAAUUCUGUACUUGAAAAGACUGGAAAAGGGAGCCUGACAACCCUCUCUCAGUCUCUUUUUCUCUUGCUCACUUUCUUCUUCUUCUUCUUUUUUUUUAACUUCCUUGCAGAAUGAGGCAUCGGUUUAGACAACUGGAUUCAAAGAUUAAUGAUCUCAAGGGUCUUCUGAAAGAGAUUGCUAAUAAAAUCAAAUAAAACUGCAUGAACCCUAAUGGAGAAAAAUCUCAUUAUAACAAGGUGAUAGCACGGAAUGAGGACGGACGGCUUUGCUGUUGAUGCUAAACUAGCGUCUGCCUUUCAGGCCUCUGGGUACAGAGCGGAUGUUUUCAGUCACCCCGGUGUGCUGAAAUCUGAGAGCAAGGCGUGCGGUUGACGUCACGCGUGACGCUGGACGCACAAGGAGAACAUCUCCUGCAACGCGCCUCUGCUGAAGGCGCCGGUUCUCUCUGUGGCGCCGUGCCCGGGCUGGCAGGCGGCUGUCGUGUUCUUGCAGCCUCCUUUUCCCUCAGUCUCGCUUCUGACCCCUGAAUAUCACAGGAGAACAUCGCUCCUGCGAACAAGAGGCUGGUCAUGCUUUCACUUCUGCAAUGCCACUUUGUUUAUUUCCAACUGAUUCUCUACUUUUCCCUUUGUUGUAUCGUGUGACUAAUUAGUUGGCAAAUUGUUAAAAGUCUCCCCGAUUAGGCCCGAUUCUAAAAUGUGCUAUAGCAAGAGGACCCUGCUCUUUUCAGAAAAAUUAUUUUUAUUUCUCACACUGCUUCUCACCUGUCGAAGGAGGUGAUAAAGCAGUGUCUUGCUCUCUUGCGCUGUCCAGAACUCCUAUGGAAGGAAGCACCCCAUUCCCUGCAAUGUGAAAAGUCACCCCAAAUGCAGCCCUGGGAGGCAUUACUGAUUUUGUUUUCACUGGGUGCUCCUCUUUCUCCUCUUAGUGUUUUUUCCACUAAAAAUAAUACAUGGAUAUUAUAGACGAUGUAGACUACACGCAGGUGUAGAAAGAACAUAAAUUGUCCACGCUACCUAAAGGGAAUCACUGCUAACAUUUCUGGGUGUCCUUCCAAGUCUAUUUUCUUCUAUGCAUGUUUUUGUUUCUUAUAAAAUUUUACAUACAUGUAAAAUGUAUACAUACAUGUCAUCAUCAUACUACAUAUGCAAUUUUAUAUAAGCUUUUUAACUUAACAUUUUAUCACAGUUUUCUGUAUAUUCGUGGUCUUCUUAAGCAUUAUAUCAAUACUUACUGUAAUAUCCAGCCGCUAGUGAUUUCCAUAACGUUGGUCAUUGAAAGCUAUUUCCAGUUGACCGUUGGAAUGAGUAUCUUCGUGUAUGAAUCUUGCUACUGCAUUGGGGAAAUUUUCCAAGGCUGGAAUCCAAGAAGGAUCUAUUGAUCAUCAAACCAUUUAUAGGACUUUUUCAUAAAUGUAUAGCAAAUAGGAAUUAUUAACUUGAGCAUAACAUAUAAUAUACAUAACCUACAACUAUUAAAGUAAAAUGUUACAUUUAAUAUUUAGUUUAGGAAGAAGCCAAUAUGCUUAUUUAAAUAUGGAUGGUGAUGGCAAUGGGACAGAAUUAGACCAUGUUACUGAACACUCCUAGCCCCAGCUUUCUCUGGAAGUCGUGGAGUCUGAGCUGGAAGCACAUAAGGCAAUUUAAAUGCUCAGAAUUAGUUCUUCGGUUUUGAUUGGACUAUAAACUCAGUGGCUGAAGAAGGAACUCUUAGGAGGAAGCUAUUAAAAGAUCGUCUAAUUAGAAAAACUACAAAAGCACUAACCAAAAAAAGUUUAUUUUCAUUUUGUCUGGGCAGUAGUUAAAACGGCUACUCACAACAUAGUGUUUUGCAGGGAAUGAACACAAAUAAAAGGUGUCUUUCUACUUAAACCUUAAUAAUGGCCUAAAAGGGAAUCUUAUUCAAUUGGGUCAAUCAAUUCAAGGUUUCAGAUGCUGAAAGUAGAUGGAGCAAAAUUUACAUGACAAAAAUUGUCAAUGAAUGGAAUAUUCAAAAUUUCUCUGCUUUUGAGAGAACAUCACUUUCAUUUCACCAUGGCAACUAAAAUAUCUGCCUUUUCUGAAACCACCAAGAAGAGGGUAAUAUCAUCUCUGUUCUGACUAGGAAAAUUAUACAUGGCAGCACAUCAGAUUGUGCAAAAACAAACAAUAGUCCCAACCUCAUACCCUCAAUUCAAGUAGGGAAUUUGAAUAAAAUUAUAAAAUUAAAUUUAAAACUUCACAGAAGACAAAAUGUAGCAUAAUCUAUUUUCUGAUCUCCCUUUAACAAAUUUGUCCAUAUAUUCGUAUUUCCUCUGACCAUGUUUCUCUGAGCUUCAGAAAUAGGACUUUGUGCAUAUCAUUAUCUGCAGCAAAAGAAAUCCUCUCAUUGCUACCAAAGACAGAAAACACGCACAACACUCAGAAUUCACUGCAUUGGAGAGGGACUUGUUAAGUGUUUUCAGCGUAGCCUGUCUGGUGGAUGUUUCUGCAUGGUUACUCUACCGGGUUUUUUCUUAUGCAAGGCCAUCAUUUUCUGUGUAGCUCAGAAAAAUACCACAUGUAUUAAACAUACCUCUAAUCAAAGGUGCUACGUCCUUGUGUAUGGGACUAAAGGUGUCCUGUGUACACUUGUGCACAACACUGAGAACCCUGUCGCUGGGUUUAAAUGAACGUGUUAACGAAUUAAACAAUGAAGGAACUGUCA